rnacentral:tRNA from 1 species
CGGGCGAUGGUGUAAUGGCUAACACGCUCCUUUUGGAGAGUAUGUGUGAGGUUCGAGUCCUCACCGCCAA